rnacentral:tRNA from 1 species
GGGGAUAAAAUUCAAUGGUAGAGUGCUUGCCUACCAUGCAAGGAGACCUGGGUUGGAUCCCCAGGACUGCCA